CUUUAGGGCACAACUAUGUGGCAGAGGUAGAAAAGCACUCAUCCCAGACAGAUGCAGCAAAGGGUUUCGGGGGAAAAUUUGGUGUACAGAAGGACCGGGUGGACAAGUCUGCCAUGAACUAUGAGUAUAAGGGUGAGGUACAGCAGCAUGCAUCUCAGAAAGAUCAUGCUAAAGGUUUUGGUGGCAAGUAUGGUGUGCAGAAAGAAAGGGUUGACAAGGCCGCAGUUGGUUACGAUUAUAAAGGCGAGACUGAGAAACACCAGUCACAGAAAGACUACGCAAAAGGCUUCGG